UACAGAGGGGGCAAGCGUUGUUCGGAAUUACUGGGCGUAAAGGGCGCGUAGGCGGCCUUCUAAGUCAGACGUGAAAUCCCUCGGCUCAACCGGGGAACUGCGUCUGAUACUGGGAGGCUUGAAUCCGGGAGAGGAAUGCGGAAUUCCAGGUGUAGCGGUGAAAUGCGUAGAUAUCCGGAGGAACACCGGUGGCGAAGGCGGCUUCCUGGACCGACACUGACGCUGAGGCGCGAAAGCUAGGGGAGCAAACGGG
rnacentral:rRNA from 1 species